CACCUCUCAGGGUCGUACCUGGAGAGUUUCUGGUAUUCUACCAGUCUCAACUAUGGGAAGGAAAGUCAAGCAGAGGCAUAUCCAUUCCUUUCCUAGCUUGUGCAGUGGCUAGCAUGUGGAAGGCAAUCUGUUACAAGU